AACAUAUAUUAUACGUAUUAAUUUUUAAAAUAUCUCAUGUAAAUUUUCAUAUAAAAUAUAUAUAUAUAUAUACUUCCUUAAUUUUACGUAAAUUCAAAUAUCUAUUUAUGUUUGUCGAACAUUGAUAUCGAAACUGAGUUGAAGUACCUAGUAAUAUAAUGCCUCUUUCUAUUUUAGAACUUAAAUUGAUACGUUGCCUCCAAGUUCAUUAAUUAGGUGUCUUUUGUACCAUUGCCACUUCUCAGCUCUUAGCUCUACAUUAUUCAAAUUACAUUCUUCUUCUCUUUUUUUUUUCUUUUCAGUGGUAGCAUAUCACUUAUUUCGUCUAAGAAAGAUGACAUGAACUCAAGUUUGGAAAAUACUUAGAAAUCAUGCUUUCUCAAUUUCAGGAUUUGAAGUAAAGAUGCAAAUGAGUUGAUUAUGCAUCGAAUGAUGAAGAUGUUAUUCAAUAAUUGAAGAAAAUUCAGGAGCAUAUUUUCAAGGAAGCCAUGGGAUGGUUUACAGGGUUCAUAACUACUCCUCUUCCUACAGGACGCUUAUCUAGCCAACGGUUAUCUGCAUAUGGCCUUUUUUCCUAGGUGCUCAUUUUGUCCGCGGCUUUUAGUUUAAUAUUUCUAUUCAGCAGACGUGGUUAUUGGCAAGAAAGUUUCGAACUUCAGGAGACUUAUUUUGCCCACAAUUUAUUGUUUGUACCUAUGGGCGCCAUUUUCAACAUUGGACACUGAAAAUGUUACAUGACAUCUUUUGGGUCCCAGUGAUAACCGCGACAAAUAGACGAUCUCAAUUAGAUUAUCCAACACUAUUUCAUUUAUAUAUUCUUUUAUUUCUUUGGGAAGUAAAAACUAGAUUGAAUCAUCAUAUAUGUAAUGAUGUAAAUGUCAGUUAUUUUAUUCAUUCUACUAAUGCAGAUACUAUUUCGAAUUUUGUUAAAAUCUGAGAUGGUAAUCGAAUAAAAAAAAUA